CCUACGGGAGGCAGCAGUGAGGAAUAUUGGUCAAUGGACGAGAGUCUGAACCAGCCAAGUAGCGUGAAGGAUGACUGCCCUAUGGGUUGUAAACUUCUUUUAUCAAGGAAUAAAACGAGGCAAGUGUGCCUUUUUGCAUGUCCUUUAUGAAUAAGGAUCGGCUAACUCCGUGCCAGCAGCCGCGGUAAUACGGAGGAGCCGAGCGUUAUCCGGAUUUAUUGGGGUUAAAGGGAGCGUAGAUGGGUUGUUAAGUCAGUUGUGAAAGUUUGCGGCUCAACCGUAAAAUUGCAUUUGAUACUGGCAGUCGUGAGUACAGAUGAGGUAGGCGGAAUUCGUGGUGUAGCGGUGAAAUGCUUAGAUAUCACGAAGAACCCAGAUUGCGAAGGCAGCUUACUAAGCUGUGACUGACAUUGAUGCUCGAAAGUGUGGGUAUCAAACAGGAUUAGAUACCCUGGUAGUC
rnacentral:rRNA from 1 species